UAAAAUAAUUCCUGCUUAUUCAUUAAACAACUUUCGAUCAAGAAAAAUGUAUUUUAUUCAUCAUUGCUGAAAGCCCUAGAAAAGUACAUUUUAAAAAUUUUAAAUAUAAUGAAAAUCUAAUCGAUUUUACAGUAUAGCAGUACAUAUUGAAACACUAUUGUAUACAGUCACUAUACAUAACAUGAUUUAAAUGCAAACUUCUCAGCAGUGGUGAUAUUCUCUAACAAUGUUACAAAUCAAACAUAAUACUAGUAUUCAAAAUGCUUAACAAACAUUUUCAACCAAGAAACAAAAAAUUCAUACAUUAACCAGUGUAAACAAUGAUUGUGACAAGGCAGUUUUUACAACAGUCAAACUCCAUAUAAAAAAUGAAAAUAAUUGUUAGAAAAGAAGUGUGAUUCAAAGCAUUAUUAUUUUCAAAUACAAACCAAAUUAUCUGUUAUAUUAUGCAAAUUUAACAUUGUUGAUUUUUUUUUCAAACAAUCUUCAUAUAAAAAAUUAGAAUAAUCAAAUUCAAUUCGUCAAGUCCUUACUAUGUUAAAAUUGUCAACUGUUAGAUUGUCCAAUCUAUGUAAAUAAUACAUUAUUAUUAGAAAAACAUGUAAUAAUACUUCAGUUUUCAGAAAUGCAUAUAAAAUAAAUUUAUAAUAUAUAAAAACUUUUGACAAUAACGUGAAACAAAAAUAAAAACAUGUGUUUUGGCUUGAAUUAAUAAUAGGACAAUGAAGAACUUUUCAUUGUUUCUGAAUUCCCAUUAAUUAAUGUGAAAAGGAUUUCAUAUUUAUAUACUUCUCACUUUGUAUAAGAAAUUUUUACACUUUUUUUUAAUUUUCUUAGGGCUAAUACAUUUAAAAUGUAAAAUGUAACGCUAAUGACUGUUAUUGGUCCUUUAAAUGUCAUGCUUAACAAUGUGCUCCAAAUCGAGCAUGAAUGUAUAUAUAAAGAUGUUAAAACGGUUUAAAAAUUGCAUUAAACGUUUAAAAAAACACAAAAAGGUAUCAAAAUAAAUACAGAUUAACAAAAUAUGAUUUCUUGGCAAAUUAAUACUUUUUUAAUGAUUCAUUCAUUUGAAAGUCAAUAUCACAGCAUUCUUAAAAUAUUGCAUUAAAAAUAUAUAUUUUGAAAAAAACUGUGAAGAACAAAAAAAACUCAACUGAACAACUCCACAUCAAUUAACGUAUAACAUCGAAAACUUCUGUUCUAAUUCGAACCGAAAUCAAACUUACUCUUAACUGUUUUAAGGGGAAAGGUACAUACUUAAAGAAAAUAAUAGAUUUAUUCCUUCGCUUUAGAAGAUUUCCUCAGCUUUAGAAGAUUUCCUCAGCCAAUCCCUUUUAAUACUAUAAAUGCAUAUUUGCAUAUGCUUAUUUAUAUUAUGCAAAUCUAAGCAAAACAAAUAAACCCUAACAUUAUAUAGCUAUUUUUUACUUCGCUAAUACCAUUUAGAAUGAAUUUCUACCCUGAAAAUUACAACAAAAACUAUGCAUGUUCCCUAAAAGCCUUUGGCCUUUUCAAAUAAACUAAGAAAGAAUAACAAAACUUAACAAGUGAUAAUAAAGUUACAUUGUCUUUCAAUGAUAACAUUCUAAAACAUUCUUAUUUUUC
rnacentral:lncRNA from 1 species